AUACAAAGAGAAGCGACCUCGCGAGAGCAAGCGGACCUCAUAAAGUGCGUCGUAGUCCGGAUUGGAGUCUGCAACUCGACUCCAUGAAGUCGGAAUCGCUAGUAAUCGUGGAUCAGAAUGCCACGGUGAAUACGUUCCCGGGCCUUGUACACACCGCCCGUCACACCAUGGGAGUGGGUUGCAAAAGAAGUAGGUAGCUUAACCUUCGGGAGGGCGCUUACCACUUUGUGAUUCAUGACUGGGGUGAAGUCGUAACAAGGUAACCGUAGGGGAACCUGCGGUUGGAUCACCUCCUUA
rnacentral:rRNA from 1 species